rnacentral:rRNA from 1 species
GACGAACGCUGGCGGCGUGGAUUAGGCAUGCAAGUCGAACGGUAUCAUCCUUUCGGGGGUGAGAGAGUGGCGAACUGGUGAGUAACACGUAGGUUAUCUACCCUCAAGACGGGGACAACCCAGGGAAACUUGGGCUAAUACCGGAUGUGAGCAACUUUUAGUUGUUUGAAAGGUGGCGUAAGCUGUCGCUUGGGGAUGAGCCUGCGUCCUAUUAGUUAGUUGGUGAGGUAACGGCUCACCUAGGCAAUGAUAGGUAGGCGGCCUUAACGGGUGGUCGCCCACACUGGGAUUGAGAUACGGCCCAGACUCCUACGGGAGGCAGCAGUCGAGAAUAGUCUACAAUGGUCGGAAGACUGAUAGUGCGACGCCGCGUGAACGAUGAAUCCCUUCGGGGUGUAAAGUUCUUUUAUAUGUGAGCAGUGCUUCUUAUAUUAACAGUAUGGGGAGAGAGAUAUUAGCAUAUGAAAUAAGCAACGGCUAACUCCGUGCCAGCAGCCGCGGUAAUU